rnacentral:rRNA from 1 species
GUUGUUGUAGACCCGAAACCGUGUGAUCUACCCAUGUCCAGGGUGAAGUCCAGGUAACACUGGAUGGAGGCCCGAACCCACGCACGUUGAAAAGUGCGGGGAUGAGGUGUGGGUAGGGGUGAAAUGCCAAUCGAACACGGAGAUAGCUGGUUCUCCCCGAAAUAGCUUUAGGGCUAGCCUCGAGGGAAGAGUAUUGGAGGUAGAGCACUGAUUGGACUAGGGGUCCCCACAGGAUUACCGAAUUCAGUCAAACUCCGAAUGCCAAUUACUUAUCCUCGGGAGUCAGACUGCGAGUGCUAAGAUCCGUAGUCAAGAGGGAAACAGCCCAGACCAUCAGCUAAGGUCCCCAAGUAUACGUUAAGUGGAGAAGGAUGUGGAGUUGCUUAGACAACCAGGAUGUUGGCUUAGAAGCAGCCACCAUUGAAAGAGUGCGUAAUAGCUCACUGGUCGAGUGACUCUGCGCCGAAAAUGUACCGGGGCUAAACGUAUCACCGAAGCUAUGGAUUGUCCUUACGGACAGUGGUAGGGGAGCGUUCCAAGGACAGUGAAGCAUGACCGGAAGGACAUGUGGAGUGCUUGGAAGUGAGAAUGCCGGUAUGAGUAGCGAAAAGAGGGGUGAGAAUCCCCUCCGUCGAAAGCCUAAGGUUUCCUGAGGAAGGCUCGUCCGCUCAGGGUAAGUCGGGACCUAAGCCGAGGCCGAAAGGCGUAGGCGAUGGCAAACAGGUUGAAAUUCCUGUACCACCACGUCACCGUUUGAGCAAAGGGGGGACGCAGGAAGGUAGGGUAAGCGCACUGAUGGAUAUGUGCGUCCAAGCAGUUAGGCUGACAAGUAGGCAAAUCCGCUUGUCGUAAAGGCUGAGCUGUGAUGGCGAGGGAAAUUAUAGUACCGAAGUUCCUGAUCCUACACUGCCAAGAAAAGCCUCUAGUGAGGUGACUGGUGCCCGUACCGCAAACCGACACAGGUAGGCGGGAAGAGAAUUCUAAGACGCGCGGGAGAACUCUCGUUAAGGAACUCGGCAAAAUGACCCCGUAACUUCGGGAGAAGGGGUGCUCUAUUAGGGUGUAUGCCCGAGAGAGCCGCAGUGAAUAGGCCCAAACGACUGUUUAUCAAAAACACAGGUCUCUGCUAAGCCGUAAGGCGACGUAUAGGGGCUGACACCUGCCCGGUGCUGGAAGGUUAAGAGGAGGGGUUAUC